rnacentral:lncRNA from 1 species
AUCUUUGCGCCGUUAAACGAGAAAACGCCUCUUAUUGACCAUUAAAAUUACAAAUUUUUAAACCCUUUGAUCAUUAGGCAAAUGAUGUCGAAAAGAUUUGAAAUUUAAUUUCUAAACACUUCAAGUGGUAUAGAUCAUGUUCAACGGAGCCGAUCGUCAAUUUGGAAGCUAUAUCAUCGAAAACAAAGAGGUAGUAAAACAGCUCGUUUACUACUGAUAGUAUUUUAGCAAAUCUCUCUCUCUCUAUAUAUAUAAUAUAGAAUUAGGCUGGAAUAGUAUUAAUAGUAAAACACUCUUUUUGCUAUCAAGUUUUUAACCCUUGAAUGAAAAAUUGUAGGGUUAGGAUGAUAUUAGUCGGUUAGAGUUGAGUGGUCCCCCUAGGGUUGAGUGGUCCCCACUGGGUUAUAGUAUUUAAUCCAAUGGUUAGAAAUAAUGAAAAUAGUUGAUCCAAAGGUUAAAAAACUGGUAGCAACAAUGGAAUUUUGCUACUAAUAGUAGCCCAGUCCAA